ACGAACGCUGGCGGCGUGCUUAACACAUGCAAGUCGAACGGAAAGGCCCUGCUUUUGUGGGGUGCUCGAGUGGCGAACGGGUGAGUAACACGUGAGUAACCUACCCUUGACUUUGGGAUAACUUCAGGAAACUGGGGCUAAUACCGGAUAGGAGCUCCUGCUGCAUGGUGGGGGUUGGAAAGUUUCGGCGGUUGGGGAUGGACUCGCGGCUUAUCAGCUUGUUGGUGGGGUAGUGGCUUACCAAGGCUUUGACGGGUAGCCGGCCUGAGAGGGUGACCGGCCACAUUGGGACUGAGAUACGGCCCAGACUCCUACGGGCGGCAGCAGUGGGGAAUAUUGCACAAUGGGCGGAAGCCUGAUGCAGCAACGCCGCGUGCGGGAUGACGGCCUUCGGGUUGUAAACCGCUUUCGCCUGUGACGAAGCGUGAGUGACGGUAAUGGGUAAAGAAGCACCGGCUAACUACGUG
rnacentral:rRNA from 1 species